AGAGUUUGAUCCUGGCUCAGCCUGAACGCUGGCGGCGUGGCUAAGACAUGCAAGUCGCACGGUGUAGCAAUACACAGUGGCGAACGGGAGAGUAAUGAAUCGCUAACGUACCCCGGACUCUGGGAUAGCCAUCCGAAAGGGUGGGUAAUACCAGAUAAUACGACCUUGUCGCAUGGCAGGGUUUUCAAAGGUCCGCCGGUCUGGGAGCGGGCGAUUUCGUAUCAGCUAGUUGGUGAGGUAACGGCUCACCAAGGCGACGACGCGUAGCCGGACUGAGAGGUUGGCCGGCCUCAUUGGGACUGAGACACUGCCCAGACUCCUACGGGAGGCAGCAGCGAGGAAUCUUGGGCAAUGGGCGCAAGCCUGACCCAGCGACGCCGCGUGGAGGAUGACGGCCCUUGGGUUGUAAACUCCUUUUCUGGGGGACGAAGACCUGACGGUACCCCAGGAAUCAGCCACGGCUAACUACGUGCCAGCCGCCGCGGUAAUAC
rnacentral:rRNA from 1 species